UCCCGGUUCACCCGGGCAGUCUCGCCAGAGUUCCCACCAUCACGUGUUGGCAACUGGCGAUAAGGGUUGCGCUCGUUGCGGGACUUAACCCAACACCUCACGGCACGAGCUGACGACAGCCAUGCAGCACCUGUGCAGCGGCCCUCGCGGGAAACGACAUCUCUGCCGUCGUCCACUGCAUGUCAAGCCUGGGUAAGGUUCUUCGCGUUGCAUCGAAUUAAACCACAUGCUCCACUGCUUGUGCGGGUCCCCGUCAAUUCUUUUGAGUUUCACUCUUGCGAGCGUACUCCCCAGGCGGUAUACUUAUCGCGUUAGCUACGGCACAGCUAGGGUUGAGUCCAGCUACACCAAGUAUACAUCGUUUACGGCAGGGACUAC
rnacentral:misc_RNA from 1 species